UCGCGGACGCUGCUGGCUCCGCCUACGCCUCGUCAGCCUCCCUCACGAGGGCUGCCGGUGCCUGGCGGCUCCCUCACGUAGGCUCGAUGCCCGAAAAAGAGCCCUGCCUGUCCCGAUCCCGCGCUCCGCUGCAGCACGCGUCUGCCCCGGAGCCGGUCGCCUCGGUGCUUAUAUCUUUCAGCUGCUGUAGAAGAGCCAAGGGGACCAACCUGAACUGGUCGUUUUUGACUUUCACCUCAAGGCAAAUGGAGAGGCAGCCUCUUGCCUGAGAGUGCAAUAAAGCAGAGCCUGCAGCUUCCA
rnacentral:lncRNA from 1 species